CAAAGUUAUUCAGCAGAUGAGCUGCUGAGCUGAGGAUACAACCCAAGUCUCUAGUGUCUUAGACCGUGCCCUAUUCAUUAGGUGAUCCUGCCUCUGUUUUCACACCAUCACUGUCCUCAUCUGCCUGCUGGUGUCAGGGCUCUUGUUACACGAGCAUUUUGUGGGCUAGCAGAGCUUCCCUGGCUUUUCUCAAAACAGCCCUCCCACAAGUCUCGCUGGGAGGUCUCGCUAUUUUAAGCAUUGGCCAAAGUCUCUGCUCAAGCCUAAACUUGCCUCCUGUCCAAGCUGGAUACAACUCCACAAUUAGACACACAAUUAGUGUGAUUUCUGGACAACAUCGGAGCCUGUCCUGCUGGGGUCGCUCUGCUGGUUGGGUAGGGUUGGAGGAAGGGGUGGAAGGAUUAACGUACAGAUAAUGCCCAGGGUCUGGAGACCGGAGCCCUGAGACCGCAGAGGCAAGCGUGUGCCAAGGCCCGAUGGACUUGUUUCACCUCACAAAUGCCAGCCCUUUGGAGCGUGACAGAGCUCUUCCUGACACUGUGGCUUGCCUCUCCCCUGUGUAGAGAGGAUUUAAGCAAAAGGAUGAUAAAAAUGCUGGGAGGCAGCGCUUAUUGCUUCCGUGGAAGCUAACAUUGACAUGUGGUGAUUUUCUGAGGUUUUUGUACAGCAGUGGGGGAGAAAAACAGGAAAUAAUGGAGAGGAUUAGAAUGUGAUUACAAAGCUGUAGCACUGACAGCUGAUCAGGGUGAUGUGGUAAUAUAAGCAGAAAUGCUUGUGAAGGGAAAGGAGGGCCUGAGAGCUGCUCGGGUGGGAGCAAGGUGAAUUGCUCAAAAGCUUGCACUAAAAGGCACGGGAUUGCUUGCAGGGGGUACAAGAUCACGUGCAGGAGAAGGAGGGAUGACGCGGGGGGAAUCCUAUAGCAGGUGCCGCAAGGAGUCCUGAGCCAGUCGUGCGAGAGGCGUCUCGAGGGUCUGAGCGAGGGAAAAGCAGCGCCGAGUCACUUGUGGCAAGUCCAGGGUCGCUCAGAAGGGGAGAAAGGAGGCUCCUGGAUCAGUGGUUGGUACCUGCAUGGGGUCAUUCUGGGGCACAGGCACGGAAUAAGAAUGCGUUGGGCUCCCAGAAGUGGAGGAAAGAGAUGACAGAAAGUUUCAGUGUGUUCCAACACUGCUACAGUCAAACAGCACAGACUUCGCUUGCCUGUGUGGUUUCACAGGACUGUGCAUCUGCAGAAUUUCUCCUCGCAUACUACAAGAACUUGCUGAACAGUCUGUGUUCUGCGACGUUCCUGUCACUGUAGUCCCUUCCUUCUCCUAGCAAUUACAGCCAACAGGAACACGCAAUGUAAUCCCACCAAGAACUGCUCCAAGUGCUGUCAGCAAGCAGAUGGCAGGUACAGUUUACGGACYGGAUUGCGAUCUAGAUCAUUUUCAACAUCCACUAUUUUAAUAUCUAAAUAGUCCCAGCACUGAGCCAUAUCAUGGGGCCUUUCCCACUGCCUGCAAGAAAGAUUCCCAUCUUGUCAGGACAGAGCAAGUCUUGCCUGGCAUCUUAACCGCCCACAAAAAUUAGUCAGCCGGUAACUAGUAGAGCAUGGCUUCACCCCAGCUUACAACAUUUUUUAUCUUGGGCAGCAUUCAAAGGUAAGAGACACUUCUUUUAAUGUUGAAAAUGUCAAAGAAACAACCU
rnacentral:lncRNA from 1 species